UACGGAGGAUGCGAGCGUUAUCCGGAUUUAUUGGGUUUAAAGGGUGCGUAGGCGGGUUAUCAAGUCAGCGGUAAAAUUUCGGGGCUCAACCUCGUCGUGCCGUUGAAACUGACACCCUUGAGUGAGUGAGAAGUAAGCGGAAUGCGUGGUGUAGCGGUGAAAUGCGUAGAUAUUAGGAGGAACACCAGUGGCGAAGGCGGCCUACUGGACGGUGACUGACGCUGAGGCUCGAAAGCGUGGGGAGCAAACAGG
rnacentral:rRNA from 1 species